rnacentral:rRNA from 1 species
CAAAAGCGAUUCUCUUAGUAGCGGCGAGCGAAAUGGGAACAGUCUAAACUAAACAUACUGUUUAGGGUUGCGGGAUAGACUAAAAAAAUUCUUCUAUUGUUAGAUAAAACGCUUGGAAUAGCGUGCCAUAGAAAGUGAUAGCCUUGUGAUUGAAAACAAGAUAAAGAAUUUGUCUUUUUCCCAAGUAGGAGGGGAUAAGUGAAACCCCCUUUGAAUCUACGAGGACCACCUCGUAAGACUAAAUAUUACUGAAUGAUCGAUAGUGCACCAGUACCGUGAGGGAAAGGUGAAAAGAACCCCGGG